rnacentral:rRNA from 1 species
AAUCAACGCUGGCGGCGUGCCUAACACAUGCAAGUCGAACGCGAAAGCCCCUUCGGGGGUAAGUAGAGUGGCGUCCGGGUGAGUAACACGUAGGUAAUCUGCCUUCGGGUGGGGAAUAACCAGUCGAAAGAUUGGCUAAUACCGCAUAAUGCAGCGGCACCUAAUGGUGAUUAGUUGUUAAAGCGGGGGAUCGUAAGACCUCGCGCCUGAAGAGGAGCCUGCGGCAGAUUAGCUAGUGGUGAGGUAAUGGCUCACCAAGGCUUCGAUCUGUAGCUGGUCUGAGAGGACGGCCAGCCACACUGGCACUGACACACGGGCCAGACUCCUACGGAGGCAGCAGUGGGGAAUUUUGGGCAAUGGGCGAAAGCCUGACCCAGCAACGCCGCGUGAGGGAGGAAAU